GAUGAACGCUGGCGGCGUGCCUAAUACAUGCAAGUCGAGCGAACAGACGAGGAGCUUGCUCCUCUGACGUUAGCGGCGGACGGGUGAGUAACACGUGGAUAACCUACCUAUAAGACUGGGAUAACUUCGGGAAACCGGAGCUAAUACCGGAUAAUAUAUUGAACCGCAUGGUUCAAUAGUGAAAGACGGUUUUGCUGUCACUUAUAGAUGGAUCCGCGCCGCAUUGGCUAGUUGGUAAGGUAACGGCUUACCAAGGCAACGAUGCGUAGCCGACCUGAGAGGGUGAUCGGCCACACUGGAACUGAGACACGGUCCAGACUCCUACGGGAGGCAGCAGUAGGGAAUCUUCCGCAAUGGGCGAAAGCCUGACGGAGCAACGCCGCGUGAGUGAUGAAGGUCUUCGGAUCGUAAAACUCUGUUAUUAGGGAAGAACAGAUGUGUAAGUAACUAUGCACGUCUUGACGGUACCUAAUCAGAAAGCCACGGCUAACUACGUG
rnacentral:rRNA from 1 species